CUACCUGAAUUCUGGGGCAUGAGAUGCGGAACACAGGCAGAUCGAGGAAGCUUUUGAAUUGCAUGCUCAUGAAUAGGCCAAUAAUUAUUUGGCUUUGUUGUAGGACAAGUGCCUGAUUGUCCUGCUGUACAGGCAUACAGCUUGAUGGUCUGGUCUUUGAAAGCCCUAUAUCAGAAAUGGGGGAUGCAUGUUUCUCUACAUAGCUCAUUGACGGUGAUGGGGUUUUCAAUGUCUCUGAAUUGGAGAACUUCAUGAAGGAAGCUAGAUUGGGUGAAUGCAGGCUCUCAUAUGCUGUUGUAUCAAUAAUGGGCCCGCAAAGUAGUGGGAAAAGUACACUUCUGAAUCAUCUUUUUGGCACCAAUUUUAGAAUGACGGAUGCUUUCAAAGGAAGGUGAAGG